rnacentral:rRNA from 1 species
GAUGAACGCUAGCUACAGGCUUAACACAUGCAAGUCGAGGGGCAGCAUUUUAGUUGCUUGCAAACUGAAGAUGGCGACCGGCGCACGGGUGAGUAACACGUAUCCAACCUGCCGAUAACUCCGGAAUAGCCUUUCGAAAGAAAGAUUAAUACCCGGAUGGCAUACGAAUAUCGCAUGAUAUUUUAUAAAGAAUUUCGGUAUCGAUGGGGAUGCGUUCCAUUAGUUUGUUGGCGGGGUAACGGCCCACCAAGACUACGAUGGAUAGGGGUUCUGAGAGGAAGGUCCCCCACAUUGGAACUGAGACACGGUCCAAACUCCUACGGGAGGCAGCAGUGAGGAAUAUU